UGAGGAAUCUUCCACAAUGGACGAAAGUCUGAUGGAGCGACACCGCGUGAAGGAUGAAGGUUUUGUUAUUGUAAACUUCUUUUCUCAGGGACGAUAAUGACGGUACCUGAGGAAUAAGGGACGGCAAACUAUGUGCCAGCAGCCGCGGUAAUACGGAGGAUGCAAGCGUUAUCCGGAAUUAUUGGGCGUAAAGCGUCCGUAGGUGGUUGUUCAAGUCUGCUGUUAAAGCGUGCGGCUUAACCGCAUAUC
rnacentral:rRNA from 1 species